rnacentral:rRNA from 1 species
UACAGAGGGGGCAAGCGUUGUUCGGAAUUACUGGGCGUAAAGGGCGCGUAGGCGGCCUGCUAAGUCGAACGUGAAAUCCCUGGGCUCAACCCGGGAACUGCGUCCGAUACUGGUGGGCUUGAAUCCGGGAGAGGGAUGUGGAAUUCCAGGUGUAGCGGUGAAAUGCGUAGAUAUCUGGAGGAACACCGGUGGCGAAGGCGGCAUCCUGGACCGGUAUUGACGCUGAGGCGCGAAAGCUAGGGGAGCAAACGGG